CUUGGAACCUGGAAGAGCAAUUGUCCUGGUACACAGAGUGUGUUUUCCACUGAUCUUUUUCAUUUUGCUGGAGCCAGAAAACUCAGUAGCACGAUGUGUGUGGCAGGGGGCAGGCAUGGAAGGAGAGAGGAGCCCAUCUUAUGACCAAGUGCCUUCUGCCUGGAUCAAUGUGUCCUUGGCCAGGAUCAUCAACUUUUUUAAGCCUGGAGGUACUAAGGUACAGGCAGGCUGCAUACCUACAAUGAAGACAUGGACUUUUCGAUCCCAGCUGAGAGUCUGUGUUCAGAUUUAGGUUUCUGCCUUAGAAGAACAACACUGAUAAACUCCAGACUUCCGGGGACACGGUGACCAAGAAGGCCUGGAAAUUGUCAAAUAUCACAACGACAUAUGAAACUUUUUUUUAAAGUAAAGAAAUCUGUGUUUCAACUAGAUGAUAUUUAUGGGAGUGGGGGCGUUCAUGUGAAGAGAAUGUAAUUUUCUGUUUCACUGUAGGAAAAACAGUAUGCUGUAAAAGAUUCUGGAGCCAACAGUCACCUUCCUUAACCCCUCAAUGGCCUCAAUUUUCUCAUCUGUACAAUGGAGUGAAUUGAUUCACUUAUCUCAUAAGAUGAUUGUAUCGACUAAUGAAGUUAAUACAUGUAAAGUGCUUAAAAGAUUAUUUGGCACAUAGUAAAUGCUCAAUAAAUGCCCUUAUGUUAUGAGUUGCUACUAUAACAUCCCAGGUAAGAGUUUAGGGUGCCACAUGGCAGUUCAAUAUUUUUUAACAGUUCUAGCAAUAAAGAAACAGCCACU